AGGAAUCACUUACUCCCCAGCCCUUCUGCUGAUGUCUCUUGUGAGGUCUAAAGUUUUAAUUUCAGGACAGGGCCAUGCAGCUGUCAGAGAACUCAGCUAAUUUACCUUCUUCUUCGUGUUUCUGGACCAUGUUGCAAUUUGAAAAAAAACAAUGAGUGCUGUGUACUUUGCAUGGGUUUUAUUAGAAAAUAUAAUCAAGCAAAUAUGUAGAUUAAACAAACAUAUAACUGAGGCUAAAACUACUCUAACUUCUCUAAACUCAGAUGGAGUUGAUCAUGGUAUUGUUUCCGGGUUUUUUUGGAUCAUCGAUUUCCAGUCGAAUUAAUACCGCAGGUAUUCAAUCCCGAGGCUGACGAAAGAAAGAAUUGCUUUUAGUUAAUCCUGCGGCAGGAGACCGAAGGAGGUGCCUUUAAUCUAACACCCUCUGUGACAGAUGCAAGACCUUGGAAGUAUGGAAACGUAAAAGACUAUUGCAAUGAUAUGUGCCAUCGGCAUUUUGUAUCUCUAAAUGUUAUAUAUACCUCUGGGAAGUAGGGAUUAUAUGAUUGCCCCAUGCGGGAGGAUAACUGAGCUUCUCCAAGAACUAAAUCCAGUGGUGGUUAAUUACUGAAGAUCCCAGGGCAGUUAAACAGCCCAAGAGCAGCACCACCUCCUGGGAUGAAUUGCAUAGACUGGCUCAGACCAGGUUCAAGAGGCCCAGGAGUCAAAGAAGGAGCAUGUGAUAUAAAGGGCCGUCCUGAGCUGAUUGAAAUCCCUCAUUAUGAUUUAGUAGCCAAGAGGGCAAAACCCUGCUGGAAGGACUGGAAACCUAAGAGAGUCGCCCUGUGGAAGACGGUUGAUUAGCAUACAUGCAGACUGGUGGUUGUUUUAUGAUAUGUGUUCUCUGUAAUGUUUUUGUCCUAAAAUAAAUGUACCAUGCUCCGUGAAA